CAUACGCGCAAUCUGCGUUCUCUUUCCUUCCUUGUCUUGAAGCGUGCUGAGACAACGUUGUUUCGUCAACUUGGGCUCUAAAGUAACCUCGUCUUCCGCCUAAACGAAAAACAAUGCAUCGUUUAACGCGUACCGUUGAGGAAACUGAAGAAAGUAGUAGACUAUAUCGACAUAAUCUUCAGAAACCUCCAUGAUAUUUGGAUAGCGCGGUGCAAGCUAAACUCAGCUGUUGGACAAAGUGAUGUCUGGGCUGGCCGACUGGACCGCAUGGCAACGGGACCGUCGUCCAUAUCGCAAAACUGGGGUUUUGUCACUGGGAUUCCGAGUUUCCAGGAUCAGGAAUGAACGCAGCUGAAGGCCCUCGAAUGUGGAGAAGGAUCUGCCUUUGUUUCUGCAUUUAAAGAAAUGCGCCUGCUUGAAUUCAUGUGUAACUUCUGUUAACGGAAUUAAUAAAUAUCUGUCUGUUAACUGUCUGUUUGAAUGAGAGAUCUCUUGAAAGUGCUGUGUCCCCAAAUCUGUUUAUGAAACGUUUUUGUACAAAGCAUGGUUCACUGCAAAUGUCUAGGUGUGAAGAAAGCUAUUGAAUCAUCACACAGUUUUCUGUAUUUGUCAGAGUAUAUGGUCAAUUGCUAAUGAAUUGGCCUAUGUAUACUAAGGGACAAAUUGAUAAUACUCGGGUGUUCUUGUCACAUUGUGUACAAGUAAAAAUAAAGUGGAAUGUAAACACA